GAAGGUGGCAAGCGUUAUUCGGAUUUACUGGGCGUACAGGGAGCGUAGGCGGUUCGGUAAGCCCUCUGUGAAAUCUUCAGGCUUAACCUGGAAAAGUCGGAGGGGACUGCUGGGCUAGAGGACGGGAGAGGAGCGCGGAAUUCCCAGUGUAGCGGUGAAAUGCGUAGAGAUCGGGAGGAAGGCCGGUGGCGAAGGCGGCGCUCUGGAACGUUUCUGACGCUGAGGCUCGAAAGCGUGGGGAGCAAACAGGAUUAGAUACCCUGGUAGUCCACGCCUUAAACUAUGAAUACUAAGUGUCGGCGGGUUACCGCCGGUGCCGCAGCUAACGCAUUAAGUAUUCCGCCUGGGAAGUACGGCCGCAAGGUUG
rnacentral:rRNA from 1 species